rnacentral:rRNA from 1 species
GACAGAGGCCCCGAGCGUUGUUCGGAUUUACUGGGCGUAAAGGGUGCGUCGGCGGUCGGGUAAGUCUAGCGUGAAAUCUCGGAGCUCAACUCCGAAAUUGCGCUAGAUACUGCUCGGCUAGAGGGUUGGAGGGGGGACUGGAACUCUCGGUGUAGCGGUGAAAUGCGUAGAUAUCGAGAGGAACGCCGGUGGCGAAGGCGAGUCCCUGGACAACCCCUGACGCUGAGGCACGAAAGCUGGGGGAGCAAACAGG